rnacentral:rRNA from 1 species
AUUGAACGCUGGCGGCAGGCCUAACACAUGCAAGUCGAGCGAGCGGCGGACGGGUGAGUAAUGUCUGGGAAACUGCCUGAUGGAGGGGGCUAACUACUGGAAACGGUAACUAAUACCGCAUACCAUCAGAGGUGCCCAUAUGGGAUUAGCUAGUAGGUGGGGUAACGGCUACCCUAGGGGACGAUCCCUAGCUGGUCUGAGAGGAUGACCAGCCACACUGGAACUGAGGCACGUUCCAGCCUCCUACGGGAGGCAGCAGUGGGGAAUAUUGCACAAUGGGCGCAAGCCUGAUGCAGCCAUGCCGCGUGUGUGAAGAAGGCCUUCGGGUUGUAAAGCACUUUCAGCGGGGAGGCGUUACCCGCAGAAGAAGCACCGGCUAACUCCGUGCCAGCAGCCGCGGUAAUUC